AGUCGAACGGAAGUCGUUAUAAAAAGGAUUGAAGAUUUAUCUGAUUGAGAUUUUAUAACAAUGGCUUUAGUGGCGGACUGGUGAGUAACGCGUGAGCAACCUGCCUACUAGAGGGGAAUAACAGUGAGAAAUCAUUGCUAAUACCGCAUAUGCCAUGAACAUCACAUGAUGAAAAUGGGAAAAGAGUAAUCUGCUAGUAGAUGGGCUCGCGUCUGAUUAGAUAGUUGGUGGGGUAACGGCCUACCAAGUCAACGAUCAGUAGCCGGACUGAGAGGUUGAACGGCCACAUUGGGACUGAGAUACGGCCCAGACUCCUACGGGAGGCAGCAGUCGGGAAUAUUGCGCAAUGGAGGAAACUCUGACGCAGUGACGCCGCGUAUAGGAAGAAGGUUUUCGGAUUGUAAACUAUUGUCGUUAGGGAAGAUACAAGACAGUACCUAAGGAGGAAGCUCCGGCUAACUACGUGCCAGCAGCCGCGGUAAUACGUAGGGAGCAAGCGUUAUCCGGAUUUAUUGGGUGUAAAGGGUGCGUAGACGGGACAACAAGUUAGUUGUGAAAUCCCUCGGCUUAACUGAGGAACUGCAACUAAAACUAUUGUUCUUGAGUGUUGGAGAGGAAAGUGGAAUUCCUAGUGUAGCGGUGAAAUGCGUAGAUAUUAGGAGGAACACCGGUGGCGAAGGCGACUUUCUGGACAAUAACUGACGUUGAGGCACGAAAGUGUGGGGAGCAAACAGGAUUAGAUACCCUGGUAGUCCACACCGUAAACGAUGGAUACUAGGUGUAGGAAAUGAUUUCAUUUUCUGUGCCGUCGCAA
rnacentral:rRNA from 1 species